rnacentral:pre_miRNA from 14 species
CGUGUCAGCGUCGCUGUGGGUGCUGAGGGGAGGUUGUCUGUGAUGAGUUCGCUGUAUUAAAGCCGAAUAUAACACAGAUGGCCUGUUUUCAGCACCGCCUAGCGCUCGGCGCCCCG